GAUGAACGCUGGCGGCGUGCUUAACACAUGCAAGUCGAACGAAGCACCUUGAUUUGAUUCUUCGGAUGAAGAUCCUGGUGACUGAGUGGCGGACGGGUGAGUAACGCGUGGGUAACCUGCCUCAUACAGGGGGAUAACAGUUAGAAAUGACUGCUAAUACCGCAUAAGACCACAGCACCGCAUGGUGCAGGGGUAAAAACUCCGGUGGUAUGAGAUGGACCCGCGUCUGAUUAGGUAGUUGGUGGGGUAACGGCCUACCAAGCCAACGAUCAGUAGCCGACCUGAGAGGGUGACCGGCCACAUUGGGACUGAGACACGGCCCAAACUCCUACGGGAGGCAGCAGUGGGGAAUAUUGCACAAUGGGGGAAACCCUGAUGCAGCGACGCCGCGUGAGCGAUGAAGUAUUUCGGUAUGUAAAGCUCUAUCAGCAGGGAAGAAAAUGACGGUACCUGACUAAGAAGCACCGGCUAAAUACGUGCCAGCAGCCGCGGUAAUACGUAUGGUGCAAGCGUUAUCCGGAUUUACUGGGUGUAAAGGGAGCGUAGACGGAGUGGCAAGUCUGAUGUGAAAACCCGGGGCUCAACCCCGGGACUGCAUUGGAAACUGUCAAUCUGGAGUACCGGAGAGGUAAGCGGAAUUCCUAGUGUAGCGGUGAAAUGCGUAGAUAUUAGGAGGAACACCAGUGGCGAAGGCGGCUUACUGGACGGUAACUGACGUUGAGGCUCGAAAGCGUGGGGAGCAAACAGGAUUAGAUACCCUGGUAGUCCACGCCGUAAACGA
rnacentral:rRNA from 1 species